AACACAUCCAAGCUUAAGACGGUGCGGUCAGCUUCACAUUCUCAGGAACUCUCCUUCUCUGGGUCUGGCUGAAGUUGAGGAUCUCUUACUCUCUAGGCCACGGAAUUAACCCGAGCAGGCAUGGAGGCCUCUGCUCUCACCUCAUCAGCAGUGACCAGUGUGGCCAAAGUGGUCAGGGUGGCCUCUGGCUCUGCCGUAGUUUUGCCCCUGGGUGAGUGUUCCUGGGAGGGGCUGGUGCUGGGGGCGAGGAGGCGGCUGGGAAGGGCGGGGGUCCUGUCCAGGGACCCGUGGGAGAGAAAAUGGGGGACACCCGCAGCCUUGCUGCCCUGUCCUGUCUUCUCACAGCAGGCGUCCACCCUAACUUUCCAUCUGGGAGGGGGCCCGGGGCAGGCAGACAGACUCUGGCCAGAUGCCCAGCCCUGGGUGUUCCACAGGUCCCCUCCCCUCUGGGCCCGGGCCUCCUCCUGCCUAGCCGGAAAGGGUCUAUCUACCACUGAGUCCCACUCUCUUCAGCUCUCCCUUCCCCCAGAUUCACCAUCAGAAUUCAUCUCCUUUAGGAGUUUACCUUGUCAAUA
rnacentral:sRNA from 1 species